rnacentral:rRNA from 1 species
UGAGUUAAAUUUAGUGAAGGAACUUGACAGGUACAAAUGUUUUAUAAAAAAGUUAUAAAAAUAAAAUU